CCUACGGGAGGCAGCAGUGGGGAAUUUUCCGCAAUGGGCGAAAGCCUGACGGAGCAAUACCGCGUGAGGGAAGAAAGCCUACUGGGUUGUAAACCUCUUUUUUCAGGGAGGAAAAAAAUGACGUGUACCUGAAGAAUAAGCAUCGGCUAACUCCGUGCCAGCAGCCGCGGUAAGACGGAGGAUGCAAGUGUUAUCCGGAAUUACUGGGCGUAAAGCGUCUGUAGGUGGUUUAAUAAGUCAACUGUUAAAUCUUGAGGCUUAACUUCAAAACAGCAGUCGAAACUAUUAGACUAGAGUAUAGUAGGGGUAAAGGGAAUUUCCAGUGGAGCGGUGAAAUGCGUAGAUAUUGGAAAGAACACCGAUGGCGAAAGCACUUUACUGGGCUAUUACUAACACUCAGAGACGAAAGCUAGGGUAGCAAAUGGGAUUAGAUACCCCAGUAGUCCUAGCUGUAAACAAUGGAUACUAGAUGUUGAACAGAUCGACCUGUGCAGUAUUAAAGCUAACGCGUUAAGUAUCCCGCCUGGGAAGUAUGCUCGCAAGAGUGAAACCUUAAAUGAAUUGACGG
rnacentral:rRNA from 1 species